UACGAAGGGGGCUAGCGUUGUUCGGAUUUACUGGGCGUAAAGCGCACGUAGGCGGAUCGUUAAGUCGGGGGUGAAAUCCUGGAGCUCAACUCCAGAACUGCCUUCGAUACUGGCGAUCUUGAGUCCGGAAGAGGUGAGUGGAACUCCUAGUGUAGCGGUGAAAUGCGUAGAUAUCGGGAGGAACACCUGCGGUGUAGACGGCUUACUGGACCGUGACUGACGCUGAGGCACGAAAGCGUGGGUAGCAAACAGG
rnacentral:rRNA from 1 species